rnacentral:sRNA from 1 species
AUAUCUCUCUGUACGGGAAGGAUGAGAAGCUUCGAAUAAGGUUCGAUUCGAGCGCAGCGAGAAAGCGUUGCCGCAGGCCACGACCCGAAGGGCGAAGCGCGCAGCGCUGAGUCAUCCUUCCCCCACCACCA